UUUUAAUCUGCUGUUGAUGAAGAUGUCGAUCGAUUCAUAAUAGAGAUUCAUGAUCGUGGAUCCCGAAACAGUGCUUUACACGGAGCUAUGGCGCGCUUCUGCUGGUCCGCUCGUGACAGUGCCUCUUGAAGGCGAGCGCGUGUUCUAUUUUCCUCAAGGACAUAUUGAGCAGGACAAUGGAAGAGGAAUGCCACAUGAUGACAUUCCCAAUAUGUUUGGACGAGGUUUGACACUACUU